rnacentral:rRNA from 1 species
AUUGACCUCAAAUCCGGGAGAGGCCA